CCUGAUGGAGGGGGAUAACUACUGGAAACGGUAGCUAAUACCGCAUAACGUCGCAAGACCAAAGAGGGGGACCUUCGGGCCUCUUGCCAUCAGAUGUGCCCAGAUGGGAUUAGCUAGUAGGUGGGGUAACGGCUCACCUAGGCGACGAUCCCUAGCUGGUCUGAGAGGAUGACCAGCCACACUGGAACUGAGACACGGUCCAGGCUCCUACGGGAGGCAGCAGUGGGGAAUAUUGCACAAUGGGCGCAAGCCUGAUGCAGCCAUGCCGCGUGUAUGAAGAAGGCCUUCGGGUUGUAAAGUACUUUCAGCGGGGAGGAAGGCGAUAAGGUUAAUAACCUUGUCGAUUGACGUUACCCGCAGAAGAAGCACCGGCCAACUCCGUGCCAGCAGCCGCGGUAAU
rnacentral:rRNA from 1 species